rnacentral:rRNA from 1 species
UACCUACGGGGUGCAGCAGUGGGGAAUAUUGGGCAAUGGACGCAAGUCUGACCCAGCAACGCCGCGUGAAGGAAGAAGGCUUUCGGGUUGUAAACUUCUUUUAAGGGGGAAGAGCAGAAGACGGUACCCCUUGAAUAAGCCACGGCUAACUACGUGCCAGCAGCCGCGGUAAUACGUAGGUGGAAGCGUUAUCCGGAAUCACUGGGUGUAAAGGGUGUGUAGGCGGGGCUGCAAGUCAGAUGUGAAAAUUAUUGGCUCAACCCAUAACC